rnacentral:rRNA from 1 species
GACGAACGCUGGCGGCGUGCUUAACACAUGCAAGUCGAACGGAAAGGCCCUGCUUUUGUGGGUGCUCGAGUGGCGAACGGGUGAGUAACACGUGAGUAACCUGCCCUUGACUUUGGGAUAACUUCAGGAAACUGGGGCUAAUACCGGAUAGGAGCUCCUGCUGCUUGGUGGGGGUUGGAAAGUUUCGGCGGUUGGGGAUGGACUCGCGGCUUAUCAGCUUGUUGGUGGGGUAGUGGCUUACCAAGGCUUUGACGGGUAGCCGGCCUGAGAGGGUGACCGGCCACAUUGGGACUGAGAUACGGCCCAGACUCCUACGGGAGGCAGCAGUGGGGAAUAUUGCACAAUGGGCGGAAGCCUGAUGCAGCAACGCCGCGUGCGGGAUGACGGCCUUCGGGUUGUAAACCGCUUUCGCCUGUGACGAAGCGUGAGUGACGGUAAUGGGUAAAGAAGCACCGGCCAACUACGUG